rnacentral:rRNA from 1 species
GACGUAGGGCGCGAGCGUUGUCCGGAUUUAUUGGGCGUAAAGAGCUCGUAGGCGGCUCGUCGCGUCGACCGUGAAAACCCGCGGCUUAACUGCGGGCUUGCGGUUGAUACGGGCGGGCUAGAGUUCGGUAGGGGAGACUGGAAUUCCUGGUGUAGCGGUGAAAUGCGCAGAUAUCAGGAAGAACACCCGUGGCGAAGGCGGUUCUCUGGGACGGUACUGACGCUGAGACGCGAAAGCGUGGGGAGCGAACAGG